UAGCUUUGAAUUCUGCUGUAAAACUAAUGCAAAUAAUGAUGUAUUCCGAUCUGUAUACCAUCUUUUCCAUGUCAGGAAUAUCUCUGCUUUAGCAUUACGGGUUGAUGUUAGUAGCCUUUUAGUCUAAAUUCUAGCUAUUAACUGAAUGUCAUGAUAAUGACUUCAAUGUUUAUUCGUUGGAUUUUGAUUGCCAAUGAGAUUUGAUGGUGGAUACGUAAUGGGAAAGCAACAUAGCUACUUGAAAAAUACUCUGUAUCUGAGUUGGAUUCAGAAGCAGGCAAAAUG
rnacentral:misc_RNA from 1 species